rnacentral:rRNA from 1 species
UAUGCCCUACGGGGGGGCAGCAGUGGUUAAUCUGGUUGUUUGGGGGCCACCCUGAUGCAGCAACGCCGCGUGAAGGAAGACGGUUUUCGGAUUGUAAACUUCUUUUCUUAGUGAAGAAGCAAGUGACGGUAGCUAAGGAAUAAGCAUCGGCUAACUACGUGCCAGCAGCCGCGGUAAUACGUAGGAUGCGAGCGUUAUCCGGAAUUACUGGGUGUAAAGGGAGCGCAGGCGGGACUGCAAGUUGGAUGUGAAAUACCGCCGCUUAAAUGCGGAGCUGCAUCCAAAACUGUAGUUCUUGAGUGGAG